UGGGGAAUAUUGCACAAUGGGGGGAACCCUGAUGCAGCCAUGCCGCGUGGAUGAAGAAGGCCUUCGGGUUGUAAAGUUCUUUCGGUGACGAGGAAGGUUGAUAGGUUAAUAGCCUAUCAAAUUGACGUUAAUCACAGAAGAAGCACCGGCUAACUCCGUGCCAGCAGCCGCGGUAAUACGGGGGGUGCGGGCGUUAAUCGGAAUAACUGGGCGUAAAGGGCACGCAGGCGGUGACUUAAGUGAGAUGUGAAAGCCCCGAGCUUAACUUGGGAAUUGCAUUUCAUACUGGGUCGCUAGAGUACUUUAGGGAGGGGUAGAAUUCCACGUGUAGCGGUGAAAUGCGUAGAGAUGUGGAGGAAUACCGAAGGCGAAGGCAGCCCCUUGGGAAUGUACUGACGCUCAUGUGCGAAAGCGUGGGGAGCAAACAGGAUUAGAUACCCUGGUAGUCCACGCUGUAAACGAUGUCGAUUUGGGGAUUGGGCUUUGAGCUUGGUGCCCGUAGCUAACGUGAUAAAUCGACCGCCUGGGGAGUACGGCCGCAAGGUUA
rnacentral:rRNA from 1 species